rnacentral:rRNA from 1 species
AGACCCGAAACCCGGUGAUCUAGCCAUGGGCAGGUUGAAGGUUGGGUAACACUAACUGGAGGACCGAACCGACUAAUGUUGAAAAAUUAGCGGAUGACCUGUGGCUGGGGGUGAAAGGCCAAUCAAACCGGGAGAUAGCUGGUUCUCCCCGAAAGCUAUUUAGGUAGCGCCUCGUGAAUUCAUCUCCGGGGGUAGAGCACUGUUUCGGCUAGGGGGCCAUCCCGGCUUACCAACCCGAUGCAAACUGCGAAUACCGGAGAAUGUUAUCACGGGAGACACACGGCGGGUGCUAACGUCCGUCGUGAAGAGGGAAACAACCCAGACCGCCAGCUAAGGUCCCAAAGUCAUGGUUAAGUGGGAAACGAUGUGGGAAGGCCCAGACAGCCAGGAUGUUGGCUUAGAAGCAGCCAUCAUUUAAAGAAAGCGUAAUAGCUCACUGGUCGAGUCGGCCUGCGCGGAAGAUGUAACGGGGCUAAACCAUGCACCGAAGCUGCGGCAGCGACACUCAGGUGUUGUUGGGUAGGGGAGCGUUCUGUAAGUCUGCGAAGGUGGCCUGUGAGGGUUGCUGGAGGUAUCAGAAGUGCGAAUGCUGACAUAAGUAACGAUAAAGCGGGUGAAAAGCCCGCUCGCCGGAAGACCAAGGGUUCCUGUCCAACGUUAAUCGGGGCAGGGUGAGUCGACCCCUAAGGCG